CUUUACAAUACGUUCAUGAGUUCUGAUAUUUCAAGAAUUUCUUGCGUAAAAUACACUCACCAUCAACUGCUAUGGCGUAUAAUUUUCAGCAUCAAACCAUCCGACCAGUCUAUUUUACUUACUUUUCCAGUUAUAAAUUCCGAACCCAUGUCCACCUUUCUCAACAUCCAUUACUUUAUUAGUAAUCAGUUCAAAAAAUCAAUGUAAAAAUGUCCCUACAGGUAGAAUAUGGAUUGAGAUUUAAACAGCAGCGUUGCCAUAAACUGGUGCAAUGGGUGAAACCUCCAUUGGGUUGUCUGAAACUCAACACAGAUGGUUGUUUCAGAGGUUCAUUAGCUGCUGGCGGAGGAGUUUUGAGGGACAUGAAUGGUGAUGUCGUAUUUGCAUAUCACGAGUUUUACGAUGAAAAUUGUUCCAACAUUCUCGAGGCAGAACUUCGCGCACUCUUGACAGGUUUGAAACUUUGUUUUGAGAAUGGUUAUCUUUUCAAGUUCAACAUAUGGGCAGAACUUGACUCUAAAGUUGGUAUACAAUGCUUGGAGGGUCAUCCUAACAAAUCAUUGUCCCCUGAAUUUCUUCAAAUUUUGGACGAGAUAAAGUUUUUGUGUCACCGAUUUCAAGUCGGUCUUUCCCACAUUUAUCGAGAAGGAAAUGGAGCGGCGGAUCACAUGGCUUCACAAGGUUUCUACACAAGAGAAUACAAAGUUCUGGGACCUCGAGAACUUGACAAACUCAUUCUUGCAAUUGUCAUUCGUGACCGUUCCAAUUUUUUAUAUGUUAGACAUUAAAAUCUUUUGAUUCUUUUGUAACAAGUCUGAGAAAGUACAACUGUCUUGUUGUUUGUAUUUUGUAUCACAAUUGUUCAUUUUAAUGAAAUGAUUUUGUUUCUCAAGAA
rnacentral:lncRNA from 1 species